rnacentral:rRNA from 1 species
CAUCCUCCAAGGCUAAAUACUCCUGACUGACCGAUAGUGAACCAGUACCGUGAGGGAAAGGCGAAAAGAACCCCGGCGAGGGGAGUGAAAAAGAACCUGAAACCGUGUACGUACAAGCAGUGGGAGCCCCACCACCAAAGCAUUCUCUGGUGUUGAAGGCCCUGCAAAGCAGCAUCGCGGUGGCGGAGCGUCGUUUGCGACGCCCAACACAAAAAACAAGCGGUGAGUGCUUUGGGGUGGGGUGACUGCGUACCUUUUGUAUAAUGGGUCAGCGACUUAUAUUCUGUAGCAAGGUUAACCGAAUAGGGGAGCCGUAGGGAAACCGAGUCUUAACUGGGCGUUAAGUUGCAGGGUAUAGACCCGAAACCCGGUGAUCUAGCCAUGGGCAGGUUGAAGGUUGGGUAACACUAACUGGAGGACCGACCCGACUAAUGUUGAAAAA